GCGCCCUUAGCUCAGUAGGAUAGAGCAACAGCCUUCUAAGCUGUGGGUCGGUGGUUCGAAUCCACCAGGGCGCGCCA
rnacentral:tRNA from 2 species